rfam:Picea glauca, whole genome shotgun sequence.
UCAUAUGUACAUGCCUACAACGUUAAUGCACUGGAUCCCAUUAGAAAUCCACAGUUAAGAAUGCUUGGGCUAGAUUAGUAUUGGGAUGGGUGAUCUCAUGGGAAGUCUUAGUGUUUUACAUGCC